UACAGAGGUCUCAAGCGUUGUUCGGAUUCAUUGGGCGUAAAGGGUGCGUAGGCGGUUUGUCGCGUCUGCUGUGAAAACUCGGGGCUUAACUCCGGGCCUGCAGUGGGUACGGGCAGACUAGAGUGCGGUAGGGGAGACUGGAAUUCCUGGUGUAGCGGUGAAAUGCGCAGAUAUCAGGAGGAACACCGAUGGCGAAGGCAGGUCUCUGGGCCAUAACUGACGCUGAGAAGCGAAAGCAUGGGGAGCGAACAGG
rnacentral:rRNA from 1 species